CCUUACGACCAGGGCUACACACGUGCUACAAUGGCAUAUACAAAGAGAAGCGACCUCGCGAGAGCAAGCGGACCUCAUAAAGUAUGUCGUAGUCCGGAUUGGAGUCUGCAACUCGACUCCAUGAAGUCGGAAUCGCUAGUAAUCGUAGAUCAGAAUGCUACGGUGAAUACGUUCCCGGGCCUUGUACACACCGCCCGUCACACCAUGGGAGUGGGUUGCAAAAGAAGUAGGUAGCUUAACCUUCGGGAGGGCGCUUACCACUUUGUGAUUCAUGACUGGGGUGAAGUCGUAACAAGGUAACCGUAGGGGAACCUGCGGUUGGAUCACCUCCUUACCUUAAAGAA
rnacentral:rRNA from 1 species